rnacentral:rRNA from 1 species
UACGUAGGGGGCGAGCGUUGUCCGGAAUUAUUGGGCGUAAAGAGCUCGUAGGCGGUCUGUCGCGUCGAUCGUGAAAACUUGGGGCUUAACCCUGAGCUUGCGGUCGAUACGGGCAUGACUGGAGUUCGGCAGGGGAGACUGGAAUUCCUGGUGUAGCGGUGAAAUGCGCAGAUAUCAGGAGGAACACCGGUGGCGAAGGCGGGUCUCUGGGCCGAUACUGACGCUGAGGAGCGAAAGCGUGGGGAGCGAACAGG